CCUAACCCUAAUUUUUAUCCUAAAUCUAGCCGCCUUACCCCCUUCCCUUUCUUCCGCAACACACACAAGACAUACAUGCAGCCACAAUAAGGAAAGAAAUAAAUUGAAAGAGAGAGAUAUCUGAGUGAGCGGAGGGAAAGAAGGAGAAAGGAAGGAGAGGGGGGAGAAGGAAGGGGACCGUGCUAGCGCCGCUAGGCCUCGUCGGCGCCGUCGUGCCAUUAGCCCUUGUCGCCGCCAUCGCGCCACCACUAAGCAGAUUCAUUCCAUCGCUUCUGCCACUGUCUUCUCCACGCGCGGUCGUCGAAGUCACUGGAGGUGAGAGAGAGAGAAUCACAAAGAGAGAGAAGGAUGUGCUACCGCCGCUAGAAGGGAGGGUCUUCGUCUACGCUGAUGACGUUGCUGUUGUUGGAAGACGUCGCCGAGGAGCGGAGCUACCGCUGAAGACCCGCCGCCGUUCAGCCUCGUCCUGCCCACGUUUGGUCCGCCGUAGAGGGAUGAAGGCCGACCGAGACAGUAUGUCGUUAAGGAAGGAAAGAUGUUAUCGUCGUGUUUCUUGGUCGCCGGUGAUGGAGUUGCGUCACCGUCAACCCUAUGGGCUGUUUUGACCGCUGCUGACAAAAUCCACUAGAGUUGUUCAUGGGGUUGAUGCCGUUCAGUUAUCUCGAUUCUUUUUUAGUGCAUGAUACAGAUUCGAAGAUUCAAUAAGAUGCUGCAGACAAUUAGUAGAUUUACUUGUGAUUCUUGUUGUUUUUAUAGAGUUCCCUCGCCCUUGUUGCUUUAGAUUUUAUUUUAUCCAAAGGGAUAUGUAUUGUAUUCGAGUUUUAUAUUGAAUUUAAUUGUAUAACAUCUAUUAUUAUUAAUAAUUAUGUGAUUAUUAUUGUUUGAA